rnacentral:rRNA from 1 species
UACGUAGGGGGCAAGCGUUGUCCGGAAUCAUUGGGCGUAAAGAGCGUGUAGGCGGCUCGAUAAGUCUGCUGUGAAAGUCCAGGGCUCAACCCUGGAAGGCCGGUGGAAACUGUCGGGCUAGAGUCCGAAAGAGGCGAGUGGAAUUCCCGGUGUAGCGGUGAAAUGCGUAGAUAUCGAGAGGAACACCGGCGGCGAAGGCGGCCACCUGGACGAGGACUGACGCUGAGAUGCGAAAGCGUGGGGAGCAAACAGG